UGCCAGCAGCCGCGGUAACACGGGGGGCGCAAGCGUUAUUCGGAAUUAUUGGGCGUAAAGGGCGCGCAGGCGGUCUUGUCCGUCAGGUGUGAAAGCUCGGGGCUCAACCCCGGAAGUGCAUUGGAAACUGGCGAACUUGAGUACGGGAGAGGAAAGUGGAAUUCCUGGUGUAGAGGUGAAAUUCGUAGAUAUCAGGAGGAACACCGAUGGCGAAGGCAUCUCUCUGGGCCGAUAUUGACGCUGAGGCGCGAAGGCGUGGGUAGCGAACGGGAUUAGAUA
rnacentral:rRNA from 1 species